rnacentral:rRNA from 1 species
UACAACUUUCAGCAAUGGAUGUCU